CCUUCAGAGACACCUCGCGGAUAC
rnacentral:miRNA from 1 species